UACGUAGGGGGCAAGCGUUGUCCGGAUUUAUUGGGCGUAAAGAGCGUGUAGGCGGCUUUACAGGUCCGUUGUGAAAACUCGAGGCUCAACCUCGAGACGCCGAUGGAAACCCCCUGGCUAGAGUCCGGAAGAGGAGAGUGGAAUUCCUGGUGUAGCGGUGAAAUGCGCAGAUAUCAGGAAGAACACCCGUGGCUAAGGCGGCUCUCUAGUACGGUACUGACGCUGAGACGCGAAAGCGUGGGGAGCGAACAGG
rnacentral:rRNA from 1 species